rnacentral:rRNA from 1 species
AACGGGUGAGUAACACGUGGGUAACCCACCCCGAUGACCGGGACAACCCGAGGAAACUCGGGCUAAUACCGGAUGUGCUCCUUGACCUUGAGGUCAAGGCGUAAAGAUAGCUUCGGCCUUCGCAUCGGGACGGGCCCGCGGCCCAUUAGCUUGUUGGUGGGGUAAAGGCCUACCAAGGCGACGAUGGGUAGCUGGUCUGAGAGGACGAUCAGCCACACUGGGACUGAGACACGGCCCAGACUCCUACGGGAGGCAGCAGUGGGGAAUCUUGCGCAAUGCGCGAAAGCGUGACGCAGCAACGCCGCGUGGGGGAAGAAGGCCUUCGGGUUGUAAACCCCUUUCAGUUGGGACGAAGCUUCGUCGGUGAAUAGCCGGCUGGAGUGACGGUACCUUCACAAGAAGCCCCGGCUAACUACGUGCCAGCAGCCGCGGUAAUACGUAGGGGGCUAGCGUUGUCCGGAAUCAUUGGGCGUAAAGCGCGUGUAGGCGGUCCGGUAAGUCCGCUGUGAAAGUCGAGGGCUCAACCCUCGAAUGCCGGUGGAUACUGUCGGGCUAGA